rnacentral:miRNA from 1 species
AGCUCUGCACGCCGUGCACUGA